rnacentral:rRNA from 1 species
GGGGCCACGAUUCUUGUUCGACUUCCCCCAGUCAUGAAUCAAAAGUGGUAAGCGCCCUCCCGAAGGUUAAGCUACCUCCUUUUUUUGCAACCCACUCCCAUGGUGUGACGGGCGGUGUGUACAUUGCCCGGGAACGUAUUCACCGUAGCAUUCUGAUCUACGAUUACUAGCGAUUCCGACUUCAUGGAGUCGAGUUGCAGACUCCAAUCCGGACUACGACAGACUUUAUGAGUUCCGCUUGCUCUCGCGAGGUCGCUUCUCUUUGUAUCUGCCAUUGUAGCACGUGUGUAGCCCUACUCGUAAGGGCCAUGAUGACUUGACGUCAUCCCCACCUUCCUCCGGUUUAUCACCGGCAGUCUCCUUUGAGUUCCCACCAUUACGUGCUGGCAACAAAGGAUAAGGGUUGCGCUCGUUGCGGGACUUAACCCAACAUUUCACAACACGAGCUGACGACAGCCAUGCAGCACCUGUCUCAGCGUUCCCGAAGGCACUCCUCUAUCUCUAAAGGAUUCGCUGGAUGUCAAGAGUAGGUAAGGUUCUUCGCGUUGCAUCGAAUUAAACCACAUGCUCCACCGCUUGUGCGGGCCCCCGUCAAUUCAUUUGAGUUUUAACCUUGCGGCCGUACUCCCCAGGCGGUCGAUUUAACGCGUUAGCUCCAGAAGCCACGGUUCAAGACCACAACCUCUAAAUCGACAUCGUUUACAGCGUGGACUACCAGGGUAUCUAAUCCUGUUUGCUCCCCACGCUUUCGCACCUGAGCGUCAGUCUUUGUCCACGGGGGCCGCCUUCGCCCCCCGGUAUUCCUCCACAUCUCUACGCAUUUUCACCGCUACACAUGGGAAUUCUACCCCCCCUCUACCAGAAAUCUAAGCCCACCCAGUUUUCAUAAUGCAAAUUCCCCAAGUUUAAGCUCGGGGGCCUUUCACAUCCUGGACUUGAAUUUGAACCGCCCUGCCCUGCCGCUUUUACGCCCCCAGUUAAUUUCCUAAUUAAACAGCUUUGGAACCCCUCCCGGUAUUUAACCAGGGAGCUUGGCUUGGCGACGGGAAGUUAAAGCCGGGUGGCCUUUCUUUCUUGGGGGGGUAGAAGGUCCAAAUUUGAAUAAAAGGGGUAAUUAAAGCCAUGUAAUCAACCCUUUUCCUUCCUCCCCCCUUGCAAAAAGUAACUUAUUUAAAAAAACCCUUUAAAAGGGCCCUUUCCUUCCACAUAAACAACCCCCGGGAAAAAAGGGAAUUGGCACUCUACACGGCCUUUGCGUGCGCCCCAAUUUUGGUGGCAAAGUUAAAUUACCCCCCCCAAAUUGGCGUGAGGCCUCACCCCCGUUGAAGAGAAAAAAUCUCUUGGGGGACCCCGGUGGGUUGUCCCAAAGUUCCCCCAAAUUUGGUUGGG